CGCCAGGGCCCAUGGAAUGCGGACUUACGAACCCCGCCAGGGCCGGAAGGCAGCAACGGUAGUUUGCUCUGCGUCUGCCGUGGUCACCCUGGCAUUC
rnacentral:SRP_RNA from 1 species